UGGGGAAUAUUGGACAAUGGGCGAAAGCCUGAUCCAGCAAUGCCGCGUGAGUGAUGAAGGCCUUAGGGUUGUAAAGCUCUUUUACCAGGGAUGAUAAUGACAGUACCUGGAGAAUAAGCUCCGGCUAACUCCGUGCCAGCAGCCGCGGUAAUACGGAGGGAGCUAGCGUUGUUCGGAAUUACUGGGCGUAAAGCGUACGUAGGCGGUGACUCAAGUCAGAGGUGAAAGCCUGGAGCUCAACUCCAGAACUGCCUUUGAAACUAGGUCGCUAGAAUCACGGAGAGGUGAGUGGAAUUCCGAGUGUAGAGGUGAAAUUCGUAGAUAUUCGGAAGGACACCAGUGGCGAAGGCGGCUCACUGGACGUGUAUUGACGCUGAGGUACGAAAGCGUGGGGAGCAAACAGGAUUAGAUACCCGUGUAGUCCCUGAGCGGGCUGGCAAGGCGCAU
rnacentral:rRNA from 1 species